CCUACGGGUGGCAGCAGUGGGGAAUAUUGCGCAAUGGGCGAAAACCUGACGCAGCGACGCCGCGUGAGGGAUGAAGGUCUUCGGAUCGUAAACCUCUGUCAGUAGGGAAGAACGGUCACUGUGCUAAUCAGCAGUGAAUUGACGGUACCUGCAAAGGAAGCACCGGCUACAUCCGUGCCAGCAGCCGCGGUAAUACGCAGGGUGCGAGCGUGAAUCGGAAUGACUGGGCGUAAAGCGCUCGUAGGCGGGAUGUCAAGUCAAGGGUGAAAUCCCCGCGCUCAACGUGGGAACUGCCUUUGAAACUGGCAAACUGGAGUGUGUGAGAGGAUAGUGGAAUUCCAGGUGUAGGAGUGAAAUCCGUAGAUAUCUGGAGGAACAUCAGUGGCGAAGGCGACUAUCUGGCACAUAACUGACGCUGAGGAGCGAAAGCGUGGGUAGCAAACAGGAUUAGAGACCCGAGUAGUC
rnacentral:rRNA from 1 species